rnacentral:lncRNA from 1 species
CAGGAACAAGUUCAUGGAAGCGACGGAUUUCAUCACCCCACCAUUCAACAGUUUUUGGAUUGAGGAAGUCCGGAAAAUUGACAGCUCCAGGCCAAACUUGGGCUAAGAAUGGCUUACCAUGAUGCUUGAUAAAUACAUCAUUGGCAAUGCCUCUUUGAUAUACACCAUAAGUAGAAUUAACACCAAUUCCAGGAUCAAUAAUUACAACGUACUUCAUUCCAAUGCUGUGUAUUUUCUCUAGGAAUGCCAGGAGCUUUGGACGAGGGUAGUUGGUGGGGUUGAGAGUAAAAUCCUUAUGGCCAUCCAUAUGAUCAUCAUCAUUCCAGAUCACAUCCAAAGGGAUCUGAGCCUUUUUGUAAUUCUCGACCACGUCUUCAACUACAGACAGGUUAUGGUAGCCCCAUCUGCACUGGUGGAAUCCUGUAAAACCAAAUGAAAAGACCAUUAGAAUGGUUUUUCUCAAUUUAGUACAAUAUGCAGUUUUAAACAUGUCACAAGUUAGAUGCAUAAAGGAUGUUAAACAUAACAUCCCACAACACUUGUUUUCUGAUUGCAAACGUUGCUGGCACUAUUAUUAGUCUAUAGUUAACUUGUUACUUCCACAAAGACGAUUGACUCCAAAAGUAUUAAAAGAGGGACAACCAAGUAUGAUAUGGUCAUAUAUACUUUCUCCACACUGAAAAAUAGAAGAAUUGUAGGCAAUCUCAUAAAAGAAAAAUAGAUCUAUCAGGCCUGGCAAACACACACAUUAUAUCUGUUCUGGGAUGGAUUCGGUAUUUUACAAAGUUACUCACUGAUCCUACACUUUUUUUGUAUAGUGAGCUCCGAUUGGACUCCUCAAACUCGAGGCAUCACAAUCCUGGAAACGAGUUCAGUACCAAUAAGCUAAAGUCCAUUGGUUGAUCAUAAACAUUUUCAAUUAUUCAAGCAAUAAGAAAAUUUUGACAACUCAACAUCUCAGUUCAGUCAUAUAAUUUGUAUCUUCUGUGUAUUCUCCAUGAUGAAAAAAGCAAUUCAAACAGCUCUUCUGAGGUAGGUGAAUCAAAGAUCUUUUAUACUAGGAGCAUAUACUUUAGAAGAUGUCUAAAUUGUGGAAAUAAAUCUAGCAACUUUAACAAAAUGCAAGAACUAAUGAACCAAAUUGUAACAUCACCAUUUUAAAAGAAAUACAACCCAUAGUUACGUGUGACAAACCUCAGGCUUCACAUGUGCCCAUGCCAGCCUACCCACUAACAUUUAUUAAUUAUUUCAAGCAAUGUCCACUCUGCACCGUCACUAAUUUCAGCUGAAAAGAGGGCCAAAGGUUGGAGUGACUAAUAAACCAGAGAAUCACAUAAAAGACGACAAGGCUGUGGCGAACUUGGAUUUAUACAUACGUCCUGUGAUCCAACAUAGGUAUUUGACUUAUGUUUCAUUCAUCCGCCGACAUGACAAUUGCUAUAAAGCGAGGCAACACCACUGAACGAAGCUUUUUUGCCCGUUUGUGUAAAAUAUAGUUACUCUAAUCAAUAAAGAUCAUUACUGGUGAGCAGAUACUAAAUUGAAUCAAGGAAAGGGAGUUUAGAAUGAAUCAUACCAAGAGCCCAGUAAGGCAUUGGAGCUGGUCGACCUACUAACGUUGUGUAUUGGUCGACGACAGCCAAUGGAGAGGGUCCAGCAAAAAAGUAAAAGUCGAGAACACCCCCAAUAAUCUUGUAUGUGAGCGAAGUCCCUCUGUAGAACACAUCCAUGCCAUUACUGUUAAGAAGAAGGACCGAGUGAGCAGAGGGCUGCCCGUUCACAUUUCUAAGAUCCAUGUACACCGGAUGAGACCCAUACAAAUCAGCAUUAAGAUUAAUGGCUGAGAUAUCAGUAGUAUACAGAGUAUAUGGAUCUCCAGGGUACAAUUUGAUUCCAUGAGGCUGCGUGUUCUCUCCCAGACCGUAGAGUGAAGCAUCUUUAGGCAAUUUUGUGGAUAUCUCCAAAUAUUGGUCUUUGAAGACCAUUUCUCCAAAUGGGUCGGAUUCAUCGGAGCUCGUAUUGAAAAGGGUCUGCCCGUUUGACUUUCUCUUCACUGCAAAACUAAAUGGGUCCUCUUCGUAGCUGAAGAUAAGCUCAGAGCCAGAGAAUUCCUGAACUGUUAUUGAAUUCUUACUCGAUCUCAAAAAAAUUGUUCGAUUCAGUGCCGGCGGUUGCUCUCUGGGCAACAGAUCAUAUGGAACUUCCCAUCUUUUCUUCUCUGCAUCAGUGAUGUGAAUCCUUAAACGAUCUUCUGUUUCAUGCCUGCAAAAACAAAUUUCCGGGAAAGGUACGUUGAGAAUCAUGAACAUACAAAAAUUGCAAAUUGAUUAAAAAAACGCAGUUGCAUACUUGACAAAGAGCUGCAAGAGGGGGAUAUCGGGUCCAUAGAUGUCGUUCUUCUGCUUGACUUGGAGGUAGCCCAAAAUGCCUCCAUCAUGAGUCUCUUCAAUAGAGAUGAGACGAUAGCCAUUUCCAAUCCUAGUAGGCGUGGAGGAUGGUCUUACUCCAUUAAAACACAGGAUCAAAACUAGAAAACAUGAAGCAAAAGUAGUAGAAGGCAACAUUUACUUAAUACUACUAGUAACUAUGAGCUGUCAGAAGAUGCCUAGAGGCUUUCCCCUUUGUUUGGAUGCUUGUAAGAAGGGAAACAAAAGAGGAUAAAAUAAACUUGAUUUAUUUUAUUUUGUAAUACUAUAAAAUCAAAAUUUCUCUUGAUUAAAUUAGUAUGCCUUAUAAAUUAAGAAAUAGGGACCUUACAGGAUAAUGAUAUUUAAAUAUUUUAAUAUAACAAACUAUAAUUUCUUUUUUUUUUCUACAUUUUCUUAAUUGGGAAUGAAAUGAUCUAAACGCAAGAACUUAAAAACUAUAAUUUCUUUUUCUUUUUAAGUUUGAUCUUAUCCAUUUAGAUAAGAUAUUUGAUUUGAUGGAAUUUAGAUAAAGGUAUUAUAAAUAUUUAUUUUAAAAAAAUAAUAAAAUAUUUGAGUUAACUGUUAUUAUGAGGACUUUGGUUUAAAUUAGUUACCAUGAGCGAACAAUUCUUGUCCCUAAGAUCAAGGCCCAUCGUUUUUGCCGAUGGACCUGUUCUAACUAAAAGUGAACUCCACAAAGAAGAACAGAGAUAGAAGAUCGUGGGGGAUCCACGCACAGUAAGCAAAAAUAUCAAUGAGGAAAAUAAUCUAAAGGUCCAAGAAAUCUAACGCCAAAUUUAACAGAUCUCAAAUAUGCAUUACUGCAUUUUAAGCUCUACAACAGUGACAAAUGUCCUAAGCAAGCAAUUGAAUCUAAGCUAACUCAUGAACUUGUUUGCAUGGAAAAGGAUGUGCAAAUCCUCAGCUCAUCUCGUUACCAUCAACAACCUUGGUAAGAAACAUGAAAAGAAUCAACCAUCCAAACUGGAUAACAAUAUCUAAAUAAGUAAAAAUCCGAAACAGAAACCUAGCGACCUCAACGACUGAUUUCCAUUUUCCAUGACAUGGAGAAAUCUUUGCCUAUGGGAAUAUCCAAACCAUUCACCUCUACCAUCACACUCUUCUUAGUAUCUCCAACUUCAAUAUCCUCGUGAUAUUUCUGUUCCAAUGAAUUCAACCCUAUAUUUGAAGCCCCAUCUAUGGAAUUUCCAUUAACUUCAAGUGCAGAUGGCUGCCCACUUCCUUCUAAUCCCAAUACAGUUAUCUCCUCAAUAAUCCAACCAUUAUCUAAAGCAAAUUUACCCUCCUGAACUUUUGACCAAACCUUUACAGUUCCCUGACUUACACUUGCAUAGAAAUCAAUAUAUGUUGAAUACCCACUUCCAAGUUUCAUUUCUGGAAGCUCAUCAUUAUCAAGGUAAAGGUUCCCUUUGGCUUCUCCAUUACUAGCCCCUGCAGGGAAGGUCACUAUUAGGCUAAACGGGGUCGUUCUAGCUUGUUUAGAAAUCAGACCACCUUGCUGCAUGGGUAGGAUGCUGUUCUGAUACAAAUGCACGUUAACCACAUGUAAAGGGGCAUCGAGGGUGACAUAUUGUCCCCCUUUUGAUGUAAUGGUUUGAGUCGUAUCAAAUACACUGUACCAACUACCUGGAGGAAAGAGUGCUUUAACCUGUGAUUUCCCUUGCUCAAGCACCGGAGACACCAUGAGACUGCUUCCUAACAAGAACUGAGUGCUCAACCCAUAACACACUGUGUAAUUUGGGAAUGAGAAGAAAAGCGGCCUGGCAAUUGGUGCCCCACUCAUAUGAGCCUCGUAGUUCAAUGUGUACAGAUAUGGAAGAAGCUUAUACCUCAUGCCCAGAGCGUUUCUAGCUGAUUCAGCUACGGACUCCCACUGAUAAAGCUCCUGCCUUGGAGAGUAGUAGUUGGCAUGAUCCCUUGAGAAGGGGUAGAAAGCACCUACUUCAAUCCAGCGAUUGCAAAGCUCUUCUGUUGGUGCAGGAUAGAAUCCGCAUAUAUCUGAACCAACCAUUGGCACACCAAAUAUGCCAAAAUUUAACAUAGUAGAUAUUGAGUACCUCAGAUCCUCCCAAGUUCCCUUAUUAUCUCCAGUCCAAUAAGCAACAUAUUUGCCUGAUCCAACAAAUGUAGAGCGUGAUAAAAUAAAUGGUCGCUUGCCCUCAAGCCCUUGAAGGGCCUUGUGAGUGGCAAUAGAUUGAGAGAAUCCAUAUAGACUGUGAGCAUCAUACUCCAAAACGCCAUUAUAGUGGACUGCACUAGUGGCUAUGGUUUUGUACCCUAUUGGCGCUUGUAUCCCUGAAGCGUUUAUCUUGUAAGGUGGAUCAUCCCACUUAGUAGCUGUUAUGUUCUUGCAGUCCAGGCAACAAAUCCAACCAGGUCCAGUGCCGCUAGGACAUUGCUUGCCUUCUGGUAUUGUACAAAGUCCAUAACAAAAGUUUGAGGCUUCAUUCAUGUCAAUCCAUAGGCCAUCAACAGGAACAAGUUCAUGGAAGCGACGGAUUUCAUCACCCCACCAUUCAACGGUUUUUGGAUUGAGGAAGUCAGGAAAAUUGACAGCUCCAGGCCAAACUUGAGCUAAGAAGGGCUUACCAUGAUACUUGAUAAAUACAUCAUUGGCAACGCCUCUUUGAUAUACACCGUAAGUAGAAUUAACACCAAUUCCGGGAUCAAUAAUUACAAUGUACUUCAUUCCAAUGUUGUGUAUUUUCUCUAGGAAUGCUAGGAGCUUUGGACGAGGGUAGUUGGUGGGGUUGAGGGUAAAAUCCUUAUGGACAUCCAUGUGAUCAUCAUCAUUCCAGAUCACAUCCAAAGGGAUCUGAGCCUUUUUGUAAUUCUCGACCACAUCUUCAACCACAGACAGGUUAUGGUAGCCCCAUCUGCACUGGUGGAAUCCUGUAAAACCAAAUGAAAAGAGCAUCCAAAUGGUUUUUCUCAAUUUAUACAAUAAGCAAUUUUAAACAUUUGACGAUUUAGAUGGACAAAAGCUUUUAAAUAAGUAUAAUAUUCCACAACACUCUUGUUUUGCUGAUUGCAAACACUGCUGGCGCUAUUUUUAGUCUAUAGUUAACUUGUAACUUGCACAAAGUUACAUUUGACCCCACAAGUAGAAAAGGAGGGACAAACAAGUGUGAUAUGAUCAUAAAUACUUUCCCCAGACAAAAAAAAUAAAAGAACUGUAGGCAAUCUCAUAAUAAGAAAAAUAGAAAAAUGGAUUGGGCAUUUUGACACAGAGAUACUGCUCUUAAACAUUUUCUUUUCAUAUGAUUGGCUCCAAAAGAACUGGAACUUGAGAUAUCACAACCCUGGAGACGACAUCAAUAGAUCCUAAACAUUUUUAUUUAUUCAAGCAAUAAGAAAAUUUCAACAACUCAACUUCUUAGUUCAAUCAUAUAAUUUGCAUAUUCUGUGUAUUUUCCAUGAUGAAGAAAGCAAUUCAAACAGCUUUUUCCUGAGGUGGGUGAAUGAAAGAUCUUUUAUACUAGGAAAAUAUACUUGAGAUAAGAUGGCUAAAUUGUGGAAAUAAAUCUAGCAACUUUAACAAAAUGCAAGAACUAAUAAACCAAAUUUUAACAUCAACAUUUUAAAAGAAAUGCAACCCAUAUUCCUGGAGUUACGUGUGACAAACCUCAGGCUUCACAUGUGCCCAUGCCAGCCUACCCACUAACAUUUAUUAAUUAUUUCAAGCAAUGUCCACUCUGCACCGUCACUAAUUUCAGCUGAAAAAAGGGCCAAAGGUUGGAGUGACUAAUAAACCAGAGAAUCACAUAAAAGACGACAAGGCUGUGGCGGACUUGGAUUUAUACAUACGUUUCUCAUUCAUCCUCUGACAUGAAAAAUGUCCAUAAGCGAGGAAACACAAUAGAAAUACAUUCCCCACCACCACUAAGGUUAGUCUCAAUCUUAUGGUACACGGCAGCCAUAGAUGCAAAGAACAGGAUCAUAAUACAGAGGCCUAAGAAAAUGUCAACACACUAACAUCAUGUGGGGCCUAUGUGAGCAAUGACCAUGACAAUGUGUCAAUGUUCAUGGGUCCGAGUUAGUAAUUGUCAAUACAGAGAGAUAGCUAUAAGUAUUGGAUUGAUUAAUUUCCACCUCAUACAUAGAAGAUGAAAAUUUUGGAAAAGUCUUGGAGGAUAGAAUGAUAUGCAACAGUGGAGUAACAGUUCUCCGGGUCCCCUACUUGCUUUGCACAAAAACAUUUACAAAAUCUAUCAACAAAGCAGAAAACUUUCAACAUUGAGAUGGUCCGAGAAAGAUGUCGUUACCAGUAAUAGAAAACUAACAAUCCAUUCAAAAGGAGAACUUUUCAGAACUAAAAAGUUUCUGGAGAAACGCAACAAAAUCUGUUAGGUGGGAGCUUUUAAGCAUUACAAUAAAGUAAAACAAAUCCCGGACCAACCCCACCAACCCAAAUUAAAAAAAAAGACAACCUACAACAACACGCGUAUGGCAUAUGAGCAGGCAGCACAUCACCAAAUCACACCGUCAAUCAACAUUUGCGAGUCCUAAUUACGCUUAACACCAAACUCAUUCUUCUACAUAAUUCCUAAGGUCAAUUUUAAUGAUAAAGAUUGAGAAUCAUAUGUAUUGACAAAAAAUAAUGGGUGUCUAAUCUAAUAUAGUGGUGUAUAUUCCAUAUCUGAUAAUAAACACCGUAAUCAUUAAGAAAAUAAACGCAAAGCAAGACACGAAACCAGUAAAAUGAAACAGCUUAAAACAGAAAGGCACCACUGCUCUAGUAAAACACAAGCCAAGGAAGCAUUUCUCUAGUCAAUAAAGACCAUUACUAGCAAGCAUACACUAAAUUGAAUCAAGGAAAGGGAGUUGAGAUUGAAUCAUACCAAGAGCCCAGUAAGGCAUAGGAGCAGGUCGACCUAUUAAAGCUGUGUAUUGGUCGACGACAGCUAAUGGAGAGGGUCCAGCGAAGAAGUAUAAGUCGAGAACACCCCCAAUAAUCUUGUACGUGAGCG